rnacentral:misc_RNA from 1 species
GAUGAAGAACGUAGUGAAAUGCGAUAAGUAAUGUGAAUUGCAGAAUUCAGUGAAUCAUCGAGUCUUUGAACGCACAUUGCGCCCCCUGGUAUUCCGGGGGGCAUGCCUGUCCGAGCGUCAUUGCUGCCCUCAAGCACGGCUUGUGUGUUGGGCCCCCGUCCCCGGUUUCCCCCGGGAACGGGCCCGAAAGGCAGCGGCGGCACCGCGUCCGGUCCUCGAGCGUAUGGGGCUUUGUCACCCGCUCUGUAGGCCCGGCCGGCGCCAGCCGACACCCAACUUUAUUUCUAAGGUUGACCUCGGAUCAGGUAGGGAUACCCGCUGAACUUAAGCAUAUCAAUAAGCGGAGGA